UUCCUCCUCUGUAACACGGGGACAGUGUUUCCCACAGAGAGGGGGCCCUGAGAAUCUGUGAUUAUAUAGUUAGUGCUAUAUUCAUCGUUCUUGUGUUCCCAGGGGCAGCAGUGCAGGGUUUCUGAGCGUGGAUCCCACCAUCCCUGGCUGGGCGAGCGCAUUCACACCAAUGAACGGAAGUGACCAGGCCCCUCCGGAGACUUUCAGUGUGGAGUCCCUCAUCCCGACCUUGCUGACCCUCAUACCUGCCCUGGGCAGGCUGGCAGGAAACGCGGUUGUGCUCUGGCUCCUGGGCUUCCGCCUGAGAAGGAACGCCUUCUCCGUUUACAUCCUCAACCUGGUGCAACCCCAGCUUUGUGCUCCCUGUGCUGACCUUCGCCUACCUCGCGAGCCUGAGCAUCCUCAGCGCCAUUAGCGUGGAGCGCUGCGUGUCAGUCCUGUGGCCCAUCUGGUACCGCUGCCACUGCCCCAGACACACGUGAGCUGUCAUAUGUGCCCUGCUCUGGGCCCUGUCCCUGCUGCUGAGCCUCCUGGAAGGGAAGUACUGUGGCCUCCUGUUUAGGGAUUUUGACCACGUUUAGUGUCAGGCUUUUGAUCUCAUCGCUGCAGCCUGACUGAUCAUAUUUGUGCUUCUCUCUGGGUGCAUCCUGGCCCUGCUGGUCAGGACCCUCUGUAGCUCCUCGCGGAUGCAGCUGGCCAGGUUCUCUGUGGUCAUCUUGCUGACAAGAUGGGCUGGUCUUCCCUCUACGACCUGCUCUCCAGCUUCCAAUAGUUUCCCCUCUAUUGGAUGUUGAAUGAUUAUGUGCCCGCAGUUGUCAUGAGAUGGAGUUCUUCAGGAGAAGUUGUCUCCCUUCACCGUGGAGCUGAAAGCACACCUGGUCCAGGAGUUGGAGACACUGAAGGAGUAUCCAAGGGAAGGGGGAGCAGCCGCAGGCCCAGACGGUGCCUCACGCAGAUGAGAUGAGCCGACAGAGAGGUAGUGACAUGCACGAGCACCCUGGCGCCCCUGCACCAGCCUUCCAUGUGUGAAAACAACGUGGCUGCGGCGCCGUUUCCAACCUCCAAGUUUUGUGCAGAAUGUCUCUCUAUGUCCACCCUAACCAGAAAUGUAAGGGAAAGGAAUUCUGGGAAGUGUAACUCAGCCUAGCCAAGUUUGCACUUUCAAACCCAUCACAUCUACCCUUUGUCAACUUGGCACCUAUGAACACUUCCUUAAAUCACAGUUAAUUUCAAAUAAAGACAAUAGCAAAG